UCCGAUACGUUUUCCGGAACAUAGAAACAUGAAACACGUUAUGGACUACUGAAAGUACUGGAGGGAAGGCUAGAUGAUAUGCAACCAGGCCUGUAAUAUCCGCUAACUCCGAAAGGGUAUUUUUGUAAUUUUAUUUAGCUUAGAGUAUUUUUUUUUAUUUUACAUAUUUAUGGAUUUAAAUAUGUAUGGGAUUAUUUUUAUGAUGAUAUAAUAUUUGAUUUUAUUGGCAUGUGCAUAAUGCCUAAUAGAUACAUAUGUCUGAAUAUUGUUAUAUGGGUAUAUUAUUAUUAUUAUUAUUUUUAUUAUUAUUAUUAUUAUUAUUAUUAACAUAUUAUUAUACGUAUUAUUAUUAUUAUUAUUAUUAUUAUUAUUAUUAUUAUUAUUAUUAUUAUUAUUAUUAUUAUUGUUAUUAACUGUUAUAUACGUAUAUACACACGAACGAUUCAACCGAACCGAAUGCCUAUUUUGGUGGAAUGGGAAUCGCUCCACUUCGGUUCAAUGCGAUAUUUUGCUUGGGUUUAAACACGAUAGAAAUUAGGUUUUAAACUUUAUUUUCGUUCACCCAAAACAGAGAACCAACGAGAGAGAGAGAGCACGUAUACGGCGUAUACGGUACCGAAAACUUUCGUUUCUUCAAGCGGAGUGAAACCUGGGUGAACGUGGGGGUUUGGGAUCACUUAUAUACGACCUAAGGAAGCUUUUUAACGUGGUAUAAGGGGCGGAAGUCGUCGUUUUGAGAUUCGCCAUUUUUGAAGCUUCAAAGGUGCGGCUUAGUUACGGACUCGAAUUCGAACGUGUUUAAGCUUGUUCUUGGGUCAAGGGAGGUUAUAUUUGAGUGCAUGGGACCCUAAGGAUUGUUUUUGACGUAAGAAAACGAAGCUUUAACGUCCAAAACGAAAAUCCAAAAUUUUGGACUCCAUUAAAGACGGUACACCGCCAACGAAGAAGACAACCCCGAUCUGCCUUCUCGGACCACUUUUCUUGAUCGUUUUGAGGUCCUGAGCAUUGUGGAGAGCUUCCCCAAUCGAAAGGACGCUUCAAGAGCCAUCGGAGACAAAGUUACACUUUACCGGCGACGAAACCGACGAGAACUCCGGCGACACUCCGUUCAGGGGUUUCUGGAGGAUCUUGUUCUCAACAAGGAAAUUCGUUGAGGUGCUCGAGGUAGCAAGUGUGGUCUUAGCAACUGAGGUAAGGGUAAGGCUAAGCAGUGAGAAUGAAGAGCUCGAGGCGUGGACCGCAUGUUAGGGGGCUGGCACGGUAUUUUGCUUUUAAUGUUUUUAACUGCUAAACAUUUUGGAACUAUUAUUUUGACUUAACUAGUUCUUAUUUAAGUUUACAGUACUAAAAGAAUUUUGUUUUAAACAAUGAGAUCUCAUGCUUGGAUAUUUUUCAAUAAAGAAGUAUUUGUUUGUCUUUA